UUGCUGUCGUCAAACUGGCCUCCGUCUGUCUCUGAGGUCGUGUUCACAGGGAGGCUGCUGAGUUAGCGGAGCUGAGGCAGAGCAACCGGAGGACAUCAGAAAGAACACCCGACAACAUUCUCUCCAUAAAAUAUGAUCCGGCUUUGCUCUGUAGCUAAAAGUUGAAGACUGAUUGACGGGUGAAUAUCAUGAUAUUAUUGGUUGAAACUGGUUCAUGCUCACGGGUAUACCAUGGAAAUGGAGUACCAGAAAAGAUAGAUGGUGACAAACGAAAAGUUGAAGCUCUCCGUAUUGACGGAGAAAAUAGAAUGUUGAAGGUUGACCUCCAGAAUGCAGAAAAGGACACUGGAAAGAGAUAUGAAGAGAUCAGCGCUCUCCACCGCAAUCUCUCUGCCCUCGAGGAAAGAUAUGAUGCAAAAAUAGUUGCCUGGUAGAAGGAACUCUAUAAAGGGAAAAAGGAGGCAGAGAAAGAAAUGAAGAAUUGAGAUGAGAUCAUCUCUCUUCAACAGAGCCUCCACACUCAGACACAUGAAGCUGAGAGGGUGAGAGCCAAGAGCAUGGAAGAGAGGUGGCAGAGAGAAAUCAGGCAGCUUAAAGAGCUGCUGGCUGAAAAAGACCAGCUGAGCAGCUUGUACCAGCAUUCAUGUGGACACCUUGGCCCUGCUGAAUGACAAACAGGACAUUUUACAGAUUUCAGAACCAUCGAAUGUGGUGGUGCCAUCUUGGAAGAUGGCACAUGGUGGUGCCAUCUUGGAAGGGCUGACUUUUUAAGGGGACGGAGAUUCAGAGAGUCCAAAAUGUACUAAGGCUGAGUCCUUCCUGCAGUGGCCCAGGUUCAAUUCCAGCCUGCGGCCUUUAGCUACAUGUCGUCCCAACUCCCACUCUGUCCCUUCCUGUCUCACUUGAGCUGCCCUGUCUAAUAAAGGCAUAAAAGCCCAAAUACAUUACAAUAUUGGUGCUGAAUGUUCAUAAGUUCUCAUUUAGUCUCAAUCAAGAAAUAUUGUGAUGUCAAUUAUGUCCCACAUAAAUAGAUUAGAUAGAUUCUAACUAUAUUCUUGUAUUGAACAGAAUAUUCUUCUGAUACAUUCUUUCAUUGGGUAACUUUAAGCCAAUUUAAGAACAGUGACAUUAAAAUAUUGCCCUUUUUUCUGGGGACCAUCUGGAACCAGUGGUGUAGCUGUCCAUGGAGAAGUGGGUAUACUCUCAAUUUUGCCCUUUUUUAACGCAGCCCAGAAAAACGCACUGUUUUAAAAACAGUGACAUGUAAGACUACUCUAUUUAGGUCACCCAAAAAUCCGUCAGUAGUAUUUGCUGAUUGUCAUCAUCAUUUCUGCUGCUUGAUCUCAGGGAGGAAGGAUUAUGAAAUUACUAAACCAAUACUGGCCCACAGACUAGUGAGAGACAACUAUACAUUUUGAGUGAACUAUUCCUUAUUCCUGGAAUGACACCUAUUCUCUCACUUGGCAAGUCAGUAGUUUCUUUUGUAAACUGUGUCUUUGAACAGCUGAUUUGCAACAGAUAGCGUGGGCCAGAGAGGCAGCAUCUCCUUCACUGACAGCAUCCUCUCUGACGAGGGUGGGGGGCAGAGCGGGCGUUGACGUUGGUCUUAACUGUACCGGUGUAGCAUCACUAACAUUAGCUGAGCUGCUGGCUGAUGUUGAUUCACGAGGCUGUUUGUAAUUGUCAAAUGAAAUUUUUGUUUGGAUAGCUUGCUUCAUCUUACCGGUUCAUUACAAAUCCUAAAGGCAAAUCAUUUAAAGUAAACUUGUAAAAGUAAAUUUGUCUUUAGCAAUAUUUACUUCGGCAUGACCCGCCCUUCUCUGCCCCCGUUUGGCUCAUUGGCCUAAAGUUAACCAAUCUAAUCAGUAAAGGCAGCGAGUACUAGCCAAUUAGAGGCAGAGUAGCGUGGGUCAUGGCUUCACCAUCCUAGGGAAAAAUUGGGCAAUUUGGCUCGCAGAUACUACUGAAUGGUAGGGGCAUCGGGGGGAUUUAGAAGUGGGUAUACGCAAUGCUGACUGAAAAAUAAGCGGGUAUACACCG
rnacentral:lncRNA from 15 species